CAGGAAGGCGGCGGCCGCCAGGAGGCUGAGCACCACGCUGAGCGUCACGUACUCAGGGAAGUCGCAGCCCCCCCCCUGCGGCCGGCACAGCCCCGGGGGGGCCCCCAGGGAGAUGUUGAGGGCGCGCAGCUCACACGGCCCCACAGCUGUGGGGCUGACAUUGAGGGCGCGCGCAGCGCAGUCCCGCAGCGGUACCCGACUGCAGGAGAACAUGUUGAUGAAGGCGGUGAUGAAGACGAUGAUGACGACGAGGACGGCGGUGGCGGUGCUGCGG
rnacentral:lncRNA from 1 species